rnacentral:rRNA from 1 species
GAUGAACGCUGGCGGCGUGCCUAAUACAUGCAAGUCGAGCGAACAGACGAGGAGCUUGCUCCUCUGACGUUAGCGGCGGACGGGUGAGUAACACGUGGAUAACCUACCUAUAAGACUGGGAUAACUUCGGGAAACCGGAGCUAAUACCGGAUAAUAUAUUGAACCGCAUGGUUCAAUAGUGAAAGACGGUUUUGCUGUCACUUAUAGAUGGAUCCGCGCCGCAUUAGCUAGUUGGUAAGGUAACGGCUUACCACGGCAACGAUGCGUAGCCGACCUGAGAGGGUGAUAGGCCACACUGGAGCUGAGACACGGUCCAGACUCCUACGGGAGGCAGCAGUAGGGAAUCUUCCGCAAUGGGCGAAAGCCUGACGGAGCAACGCCGCGUGAGUGAUGAAGGUCUUCGGAUCGUAAAACUCUGUUAUUAGGGAAGAACAAAUGUGUAAGUAACUAUGCACGUCUUGACGGUACCUAAUCAGAAAGCCACGGCUAACUACGUG